rnacentral:rRNA from 1 species
ACGAAGGAUGCAAGCGUUAUCCGGAUUCAUUGGGUUUAAAGGGAGCGUAGGCGGUCUGGUAAGUCAGUGGUGAAAUCUUCUCGCUUAACGAGGAAACUGCCAUUGAUACUGCCGGACUUGAGUACAGAUGCUGUGGGCGGACUAUGACAUGUAGUGGUGAAAUACAUAGAGAUGUCAUAGAACACCGAUUGCGAAGGCAGCUCACUAAACUGUAACUGACGCUGAGGCUCGAAAGUGUGGGGAUCAAACAGGA